rnacentral:lncRNA from 1 species
GUCGAAGGCAUUCAAGUUCGUGGGGCUUCGGUCCUCUUUUUCGGAUUUGAGUCCGAAAUCUUCUUCAUGGAACUUCACCUCUUUGUAUCCUUUUCUGAACCAUGGGUCCUGCAGGAUUUCAUCGACGGUGAUCCUGGUGUUGGGGUUGGUGUCGAGGAGGCGAGAAAGGAAACGUUUAAGGUCCGGCGACAUCCAUUUAGGGCACCGGAACUCGCCUUUGUAUAUUUUCUUGUACAUGGCCAUGAGAUUGGGAUCGUUGAAGGGUAGGUAACCGGCGUUCAACACGAAGAGGAUGACUCCGCAGGACCACACAUCCACUUUCGCCCCAUCGUAGCCUUUCUUGGUGAGAAUCUCCGGCGCGACGUAAGCUGGAGUGCCGCACAAGGUGUGCAGGAGGCCGUCGAGGCGAAUCUGAUCCGUCAAGGCGCUGAGCCCGAAAUCUGAAACCUUCAAGCACCCGUUCUCGUCAACGAGGAGGUUCUCCGGUUUCAGAUCCCGGUGAAACACCCCCCGCGAAUGGCAGUACCCGACGGCGGAGAUCAACU